rnacentral:rRNA from 1 species
GAUGAACGCUGGCGGCGUGCCUAAUACAUGCAAGUCGAGCGAACAGAUAAGGAGCUUGCUCCUUUGAAGUUAGCGGCGGACGGGUGAGUAACACGUGGGUAACCUACCUAUAAGACUGGGAUAACUUCGGGAAACCGGAGCUAAUACCGGAUAACAUUUAGAACCGCAUGGCUCUAAAGUGAAAGAUGGUUUUGCUAUCACUUAUAGAUGGACCCGCGCCGUAUUAGCUAGUUGGUAAGGUAACGGCUUACCAAGGCGACGAUACGUAGCCGACCUGAGAGGGUGAUCGGCCACACUGGAACUGAGACACGGUCCAGACUCCUACGGGAGGCAGCAGUAGGGAAUCUUCCGCAAUGGGCGAAAGCCUGACGGAGCAACGCCGCGUGAGUGAUGAAGGGUUUCGGCUCGUAAAACUCUGUUAUUAGGGAAGAACAAAUGUGUAAGUAACUGUGCACAUCUUGACGGUACCUAAUCAGAAAGCCACGGCUAACUACGUGCCAGCAGCCGCGGUAAUACGUAGGUGGCAAGCGUUAUCCGGAAUUAUUGGGCGUAAAGCGCGCGUAGGCGGUUUCUUAAGUCUGAUGUGAAAGCCCACGGCUCAACCGUGGAGGGUCAUUGGAAACUGGGAAACUUGAGUGCAGAAGAGGAAAGUGGAAUUCCAUGUGUAGCGGUGAAAUGCGCAGAGAUAUGGAGGAACACCAGUGGCGAAGGCGACUUUCUGGUCUGUAACUGACGCUGAUGUGCGAAAGCGUGGGGAUCAAACAGGAUUAGAUACCCUGGUAGUCCACGCCGUAAACGAUGAGUGCUAAGUGUUAGGGGGUUUCCGCCCCUUAGUGCUGCAGCUAACGCAUUAAGCACUCCGCCUGGGGAGUACGACCGCAAGGUUGAAACUCAAAGGAAUUGACGGGGACCCGCACAAGCGGUGGAGCAUGUGGUUUAAUUCGAAGCAACGCGAAGAACCUUACCAAAUCUUGACAUCCUUUGAAAACUCUAGAGAUAGAGCCUUCCCCUUCGGGGGACAAAGUGACAGGUGGUGCAUGGUUGUCGUCAGCUCGUGUCGUGAGAUGUUGGGUUAGGCCCCGCAACGAGCGCAACCCUUAAGCUUAGUUGCCAUCAUUAAGUUGGGCACUCUAGGUUGACUGCCGGUGACAAACCGGAGGAAGGUGGGGAUGACGUCAAAUCAUCAUGCCCCUUAUGAUUUGGGCUACACACGUGCUACAAUGGACAAUACAAAGGGCAGCUAAACCGCGAGGUCAUGCAAAUCCCAUAAAGUUGUCCUCAGUUCGGAUUGUAGUCUGCAACUCGACUACAUGAAGCUGGAAUCGCUAGUAAUCGUAGAUCAGCAUGCUACGGUGAAUACGUUCCCGGGUCU